rnacentral:rRNA from 1 species
AGAGUUUGAUCAUGGCUCAGAUUGAACGCUGGCGGCAUGCCUAACACAUGCAAGUCGAACGGUAACAGCAGAGCUUGCUCUGGCUGACGAGUGGCGGACGGGUGAGUAAAGCGUAGGAAUCUGCCCUGUAGUGGGGGAUAACCUGGGGAAACUCAGGCUAAUCGCAUGUUUUCUUCGGAAUAAAGCGUGGGACCUUUCGGGGCCACGUGCUAUGGGAUGAGCCUACGUCGGAUUAGCUGGUUGGUGGGGUAAAGGCCUACCAAGGCGACGAUCCGUAGCUGGUCUGAGAGGACGAUCAGCCACACUGGGACUGAGACACGGCCCAGACUCCUACGGGAGGCAGCAGUGGGGAAUAUUGCACAAUGGGGGCAACCCUGAUGCAGCAAUGCCGCGUGUGUGAAGAAGGCCUGCGGGUUGUAAAGCACUUUCAGUAGGGAAGAAAAGCUUACGGUUAAUCCCCGUGAGUCUUGACGUAACCUACAGUAGAAGCACCGGCUAACUCCGUGCCAGCAGCCGCGGUAAUACGGAGGGUGCGAGCGUUAAUCGGAAUUACUGGGCGUAAAGCGCGCGUAGGUGGUUUGUUAAGUCGGAUGUGAAAGCCCUGGGCUCAACCUGGGAAUGGCAUUCGAAACUGGCUGACUAGAGUAUGGUAGAGGGAAGUGGAAUUCCGGGUGUAGCGGUGAAAUGCGUAGAUAUCCGGAGGAACAUCAGUGGCGAAGGCGACUUCCUGGACCAAUACUGACACUGAGGUGCGAAAGCGUGGGUAGCAAACAGGAUUAGAUACCCUGGUAGUCCACGCCGUAAACGAUGUCAACUAGAUGUUGGGAAGGUUAAACUUCUUAGUGUCGCAGCUAACGCAUUAAGUUGACCGCCUGGGGAGUACGGUCGCAAGACUAAAACUCAAAGGAAUUGACGGGGGCCCGCACAAGCGGUGGAGCAUGUGGCUUAAUUCGAAGCAACGCGCAGAACCUUACCAACCCUUGACAUACUUGUCGUCGAUCCAGAGAUGGAUCUUUCAGUCCUCGGGGAACGCAGUGACAGGUGCUGCAUGGCUGUCGUCAGCUCGUGUCGUGAGAUGUUCGGUUAAGUCCGGCAACGAGCGCAACCCACGUCCUUAGUUACCAGCAUUCAGUUGGGUACCCUAGGGAGACCGCCGGUGAUAAGCCGGAGGAAGGUGUGGAUGACGUCAAGUCCUCAUGGCCCUUACGGGUUGGGCUACACACGUGCUACAAUGGUAAUGACAAUGGGUUAAUCCCAAAAAGUUAUCUCAGUUCGGAUUGGGGUCUGCAACUCGACCCCAUGAAGUCGGAAUCGCUAGUAAUCGCGUAACAGCAUGACGCGGUGAAUACGUUCCCGGGCCUUGUACACACCGCCCGUCACACCAUGGGAAUUGGGUCUACCCGAAGGCCGUGCGCCAACCUGCUUGCAGGGGGCAGCGGACCACGGUGGGUUCAGUGACUGGGGUGAAGUCGUAACAAGGUAGCC